GGCAUUAUUUGUUUGACAAAAUAACAUUGUGCACUUGAUGUCAUUAAACCCAUUUUACAGAUUGAGAAACCGGAAAAUACUGAUUUCGUGCACACACAGUGAGAGGAGAGGUACAAAGCUGGAGUAGGCGAGGGGCAGUAAGAGGAAGUAACAACUGUGCUAAUUCUUGAAAAGUGAUUUGGUUUUGCCAGAUGUACAUUGGAAAGAAGGAAUCUUGGGCAGUGAAAAGAGGGAGUUAAGAUCUGGAGCCAAGCCACAGUUCAUUCCAUAUGCCAAGAAGGAGAUUGGACAGGGUUGCAGGGGCCAAAUCCUGAAGGACUUUUUAUGACAUUUUGAAAUACAUGCCAUUGGAAAUACAGAGUCACUACAUAAUUUUAGUUAAGAACAGUGCUCAUUAACAGUUCCACUUCAGAGUGAUCAGCUUGGCUUUGGAGGGAAUAUACUGGAGUCAUGAGAUGUUGGAAGGAGAUAUGACAGGUAGAAAAUUAGUACAAUAAUUCAGGAAAAAGAUAAUAUGGGUGUGAUUCAAGAUGGUAGCAGAGAAAAUGAAGAAGAAGGUAUUAAUAUAGAAAAUGAUAAAGAGGUAUAAUUGAUAGGAAUUGAUCGUAAAUUUAAUUGAGGAAAGGAGUGAGGAAAAACUAAGC
rnacentral:lncRNA from 1 species